UCGUAUUAAGGCACAAAGCAUUCAGGUUUGUUUCUCUUAUCUCCCUUCUACCUCUUGCUUCUGUCCUUUUAUGUCCCUCUGUCUCCUUGCAUUGGUUCCCAUCCCCCUGACCUGUUAGUUUAAAUGUGACCUUUCCUACACACUCUUUCCCGUUAACUGCAGGCAUACGCAUCCACGUUGUUGACUCCCCCCACUGAUGAAGAGUGAAAAGUA